GGACACUCAAAAACAGAUUCACCUGAAAGAGAGCAAGAUGUCAUUCACUAUGCAGAGAUAACUCACAUUAAACCAACAAAAAAACAGGAGGAGCGAAGAGGUAUACCAGAGCUGGAUGUCCUUAGAGACAACCCUAACCUGACAUUAGUUUAUGAUACACUCCAGUUACAUCGCAUGGCUGCCAGCGAGGAUGUUGACACAGCAUGAAGGAUAGAGAACAGCAAGUUACUGAGAGGGUGACAUGAUAAUUCACAUCCAAGAGAAGGCGUUACAUCCUAUAGUGAAAGCGGAGACAAAAUUAUAGUAAAUAUUCAUCUUGAAAAGUUCCCAUUUAACCAUUGUGCUGAUGUUAUCAUUUCAGACUUCCUUUGUUGGUCGUUAUCACAGUCUUUUGUUGAAUUGGGGCCUCGAUGAGAUUCACUGAUGCAGACAAAUUCAAUAACUAUGCCUAGGGUUAUUAGUAGGAUGAUCCCUCUUCAAGUGCCCAUUGUCCCAAUUUAUAGGUUAAAGCAAAUGGAACCUCUUUUAAUACAAUUCACUAGUGUGUUUGCUAUGCUACUGCUGGUCCAAAGCUUCUUUUCAGUUCUGUCUGUUCUGUUUGCAUGUUGGUGCCUCCCCUGUAUCUUUUAUAGCUGGUCAUUGUUUAGCUUGUCAGUGGAUAGCAGCUGUGUACAUAAAAAAGCAGAUGUUUGGUGAGAUAAAUCCACCUACACCUUAGAAGCGAUGGCUAUUAGGUUACGUUGGAAACAAAGUCCACAUGGAAAUUUUUCCUUUCACCAUGUAGAGGGAUAGAUCUUUUUGCCUUUUGACUCAGAAAAUUAUCUUUGGUGACAUUUUACUCAUAUUGCUUUUCGCAAAAUGCAGACGUGAUUAAGUGAAGUUCAAAUCAAAUCUUAUUUUAUUCGUUACAUGCGCCGAAUACAACAGUGAAAUGCUUACUUACAAGCCCUA